rnacentral:rRNA from 1 species
AACGCAUCUUGCGCUCGCUGGUAUUCCGGCGAGCAUGCCUGUUUGAGUGUCAUGAACUCUUCAACCCUCCAAUUCCUUGUUUGAAUUGUGAGGUGCUUGGAUCUUGAACGUUUUGCUGGCCCAUCUUUGGGCGAAGCUCGUUCGUAAUACGUUAGCAACUCAAUUUCGAUUGGUUCGGAUUGACUCGGCGUAAUAGACUUUCAAUAUUCGCUGAGGACACUUCUUAGGAGGUGGCCGAAUUACGAAGUAGAAGCUUCUAACUUUGUAACUUUAAAGUCUUUAAGAUUAGACCUCAGAUCAGGCAGGACUACCCGCUGAACUUAA